AUUGAACGCUGGCGGCAUGCUUUACACAUGCAAGUCGAACGGCAGCGCGGGCUUCGGCCUGGCGGCGAGUGGCGAACGGGUGAGUAAUGCAUCGGAACGUGCCCAGUAGUGGGUGAUAGCCCGGCGAAAGCCGGGUUACUACCGCCUACGACCUGAGGGUGCAAGCGGGGGACCGAAAGACCUCGCGCUCUUGGAGCGGCCGAUGUCGGAUUAGCUAGUUGGUGGGGUAAAGGCUUACCAAGGCGACGAUCCGUAGCUGGUCUGAGAGGACGACCAGCCACACUGGGACUGAGACACGGCCCAGACUCCUACGGGAGGCAGCAGUGGGGAAUUUUGGACAAUGGGGGCAACCCUGAUCCAGCCAUGCCGCGUGCGGGAAGAAGGCCUUCGGGUUGGAAACCGCGUUUGUUCGGGAAGAAAUCCUCUGGGCUAAUACCCCGGGGGGAUGACGGUACCGGAAGAAUAAGCACCGGCUAACUACGUG
rnacentral:rRNA from 1 species